CUCGUGGUGGCAGACUAGUGCCUCGAAUUUAGAAUUCGGAAAAGUGAGUCCUUAAGAGUUCACCCUCGAGA
rnacentral:tRNA from 1 species